rnacentral:rRNA from 1 species
CGCACUGUAAACGAUGAUUACUCGCUGCUGGGAGGUAACUUUCAGUGGCUUAGCGAAAGCGAUAAGUAAUCCACCUGGGGAGUACGCCGGCAACGGUGAAACUCAAAGGAAUUGACGGGGGCCCGCACAAGCGGAGGAGCAUGUGGUUUAAUUCGAUGAUACGCGAGGAACCUUACCAGGGCUUGAAAGUUAGUGACCGCUCCUGAAAGGGAGCUUUCCGCAAGGACACGAAACUAGGUGC